AUGAGCGUGGAGGCGUACGGGCCCAGCUCGCAGACGCUCACUUUCCUGGACACCGAGGAGGCUGAGCUUCUCGGCGCCGACACACAAGGCUCCGAGUUCGAGUUCACAGACUUCACCCUCCCCAGCCAGACGCAGACGCCUCCCGGAGGCCCCGGCGGCCCUGGAGGUGGCGGCCCGGGAGUCCCGGUCGGCGCGGGUGCUGGCGCUGCGGCCGGACAGCUUGACGUUCAGGUUGGAGGACCUGAGGGCAUCCUGCAGAAUGGGGCUGUGGAUGACAGUGUGGCCAAGACCAGCCAGUUGCUGGCGGAGUUGAACUUCGAAGAAGAUGAAGAAGAUACCUAUUACACAAAGGACCUACCAGUACAUGCCUGCAGUUACUGUGGAAUACAUGAUCCUGCUUGCGUGGUUUACUGUAAUACCAGCAAGAAGUGGUUCUGUAACGGACGUGGAAAUACUUCUGGCAGCCACAUUGUAAAUCACCUUGUGAGGGCAAAAUGCAAAGAGGUGACUCUGCACAAGGAUGGGCCCCUUGGUGAGACAGUCCUGGAGUGUUACAACUGUGGCUGCCGCAACGUCUUCCUGCUUGGCUUCAUCCCUGCCAAGGCUGACUCAGUGGUGGUGCUGUUGUGCAGGCAGCCCUGUGCCAGUCAGAGCAGCCUCAAGGACAUCAACUGGGACAGCUCGCAGUGGCAGCCCCUGAUCCAAGAUCGCUGCUUCCUCUCCUGGCUGGUCAAGAUCCCUUCAGAGCAGGAGCAGCUUCGGGCCCGGCAGAUUACAGCCCAGCAGAUCAACAAGUUGGAGGAGCUUUGGAAGGAGAACCCUUCUGCCACCUUGGAGGACCUAGAGAAGCCCGGAGUGGAUGAGGAGCCGCAGCAUGUCCUCCUGCGGUAUGAGGAUGCCUACCAGUACCAGAACAUAUUUGGGCCUCUGGUCAAGCUGGAGGCUGACUAUGACAAGAAACUGAAAGAGUCACAGACUCAAGAUAACAUCACGGUCAGGUGGGACCUGGGCCUUAACAAGAAGAGAAUCGCCUACUUCACUUUACCCAAGACUGACUCUGGUAAUGAGGAUUUAGUCAUAAUUUGGUUAAGAGACAUGCGGCUCAUGCAAGGGGAUGAGAUAUGCCUGCGGUACAAAGGGGACCUGGCGCCCCUGUGGAAAGGGAUCGGCCACGUCAUCAAGGUCCCUGAUAAUUAUGGCGAUGAGAUUGCCAUUGAGCUGCGGAGCAGUGUGGGUGCACCUGUGGAGGUGACACACAACUUUCAGGUGGAUUUCGUGUGGAAAUCCACCUCAUUUGACAGGAUGCAGAGUGCACUGAAAACUUUUGCUGUCGAUGAAACCUCUGUAUCAGGCUAUAUCUACCAUAAACUGCUUGGCCACGAGGUGGAGGACGUUAUCAUCAAGUGCCAGCUGCCCAAGCGCUUCACUGCACAGGGGCUGCCCGACCUCAACCACUCUCAGGUUUAUGCUGUGAAGACUGUGCUGCAAAGACCGCUGAGUCUGAUCCAGGGACCACCAGGAACAGGGAAGACAGUGACCUCCGCCACCAUUGUCUACCACCUGGCACGGCAGGGCAAUGGGCCUGUGCUUGUCUGUGCUCCAAGUAACAUAGCUGUGGAUCAGCUGACUGAGAAGAUCCACCAGACUGGGCUGAAAGUUGUGCGGCUCUGCGCUAAGAGCCGCGAGGCCAUUGACUCCCCAGUGUCAUUCCUGGCCCUGCACAACCAGAUCAGGAACAUGGAUAGCAUGCCAGAGCUGCAGAAGCUGCAGCAGCUAAAGGACGAGACUGGGGAACUGUCAUCUGCCGAUGAGAAGCGGUACCGAGCCCUGAAGCGCACAGCUGAAAGGGAGCUGCUCAUGAACGCGGACGUCAUCUGCUGCACAUGUGUGGGUGCAGGAGACCCCAGGCUGGCCAAGAUGCAGUUCCGCUCCAUUCUUAUCGACGAGAGCACCCAGGCCACGGAGCCGGAGUGCAUGGUCCCUGUGGUCCUUGGAGCCAAGCAGCUGAUCCUUGUGGGUGACCACUGCCAGCUGGGCCCCGUGGUGAUGUGCAAGAAGGCAGCCAAGGCCGGGCUGUCUCAGUCACUGUUCGAGCGCCUGGUGGUGCUCGGCAUUCGUCCAAUCCGCCUGCAAGUCCAGUAUCGGAUGCACCCUGCACUCAGUGCCUUCCCAUCCAACAUCUUCUAUGAGGGCUCUCUGCAGAACGGUGUCACUGCAGCGGAUCGAGUGAAGAAGGGGUUUGACUUCCAGUGGCCCCAACCUGAUAAGCCGAUGUUCUUCUAUGUGACCCAGGGCCAGGAGGAGAUCGCCAGCUCGGGUACCUCCUACCUGAACAGGACGGAGGCUGCAAAUGUUGAGAAGAUCACCACGAAGCUGCUGAAGGCAGGUGCCAAGCCGGACCAGAUUGGCAUCAUCACACCCUAUGAGGGCCAGCGCUCCUACCUGGUGCAGUACAUGCAGUUCAGCGGCUCCCUGCACACCAAGCUGUACCAGGAGGUGGAGAUUGCCAGUGUGGAUGCAUUCCAGGGGCGCGAGAAGGACUUCAUCAUCCUUUCCUGUGUGCGAGCCAACGAGCACCAAGGCAUCGGGUUUUUAAAUGACCCUAGGCGGCUUAACGUGGCCCUGACCCGAGCAAGAUAUGGAGUCAUCAUUGUGGGCAACCCUAAGGCCCUGUCCAAGCAGCCCCUGUGGAACCACCUGCUGAAUUACUACAAGGAGCAGAAGGUGCUGGUGGAGGGGCCUCUGAAUAACCUGCGGGAGAGCCUCAUGCAGUUCAGCAAGCCCCGGAAGCUGGUCAACACCAUCAACCCUGGAGCCCGCUUCAUGACCACAGCCAUGUAUGAUGCCCGGGAGGCCAUCAUCCCAGGAUCGGUCUAUGAUCGGAGCAGCCAGGGCCGGCCCUCGAACAUGUACUUCCAGACCCACGACCAGCUUGGUAUGAUCAGUGCUGGCCCCAGCCAUGUGGCCGCCAUGAACAUUCCCAUCCCCUUCAACUUGGUCAUGCCACCCAUGCCACCACCAGGGUAUUUUGGACAGGCUAACGGGCCAGCUGCAGGCAGAGGCACCCCGAAAGGCAAGACGGGCCGUGGCGGACGCCAGAAGAACCGCUUUGGCCUUCCUGGGCCCAGCCAGACGAACCUGCCCAGCAGCCAGGCCAGCCAGGAUGUGGCAUCACAGCCCUUCUCUCAGGGGGCCCUGACACAGGGCUACAUCUCCAUGAGCCAACCCUCCCAGAUGAGCCAGCCUGGUCUCUCCCAGCCUGAGUUGUCCCAGGACAGUUACCUUGGUGAUGAAUUUAAGUCCCAGAUUGAUGUGGCGCUAUCGCAAGAUUCUACGUACCAGGGGGAGCGGGCGUACCAGCACGGUGGAGUGACGGGACUGUCUCAGUACUAGAAGGCAAGCCAACUCCGGAGGAGGGCUUCACCGGGACCUGGACUUGUCAGAAAACUCGGGAAAUGUGGGAGUCUCAAGUCCAGGAGGGGCCAACUCAUCAUUGUGACCUGUCACUUCAGGUCCCUGCACCUCUCCCUGUGUUAUGUCCUCUCCUGCGAGUCCUAGAACUCCUGAGAAAGGCCGAUGUGGAGGCCCAUAGCCCCCUGGGCAGGCAGGGAGGUGGACACAUCCCUUUCCCUGACUGGCAGCUUGUGAGGGUGAUGGGUCCUGGCACUAGGUGCAUAGGGAACUUCUGCAGAAGGUGCCUGUGAGUCAUGCCUUGCGGUUCCCAUCUGUCUGUGUGCCAAGGAAAGCUGUGUGCUGAUACUGCUGGGAGAACGGGUGCCACUGUUAUAGCACAGGCUGUAGCCUUAGCAUUUGACUGCCUUCUGUCUCUGGUUGGAAAGUCAGUGGUCUAAGGGCUGUCCAGCACGUGAGGUCACAUUUUACAGGUGGCAGCGGAAGAGCUAAGCUUUGGGCUUAGUCCAUCAGCAUCUUAUUCUGGGUAAUAAAAAAUAAAAAUAAAUGGAUACCUGUUUUCCACUGCUAAAACUGAAGCACCACUGAGCAACAGGAGAGGGAGAGCAGCCCGAGAUAGUGAGCGCCCACUGCUGGCACCGCGGCGAGGAGACAGAGGGAGAGCGGAGGUGGGGCCGGCCAGCCCGAGAGCCCUGCAGCCAGCUCGCCCAGGAGGCCCAGCUCGCCGCGUCUACACCUGGGUCUGCGACCAGGAGGAGGGAGGAAGACCCUCAUCUCAGAGUAGCCCUUUCCUCUGUUCUUUCUUUCUUUUUCUCUUUUAUUGAAAGGGGACUACGUUUUAUCAGGAACAACUCACAUUUCUGUGCUGAACAGGCUCCUUGCAGCCAUGCCUAGAGAGCCCCGCUGAGGCGCGUGUUCUGUCCACACUGAGACCUUGCAGUCACGCUGCCUGUGUUCUAAGAGGGUUUUCAUUUAAAGAAAAUGUGGUGUUUGGGGUUUUCUGUUUGUUUCUUAAAGAUUCUUUCAAAGGAGUACUGAAAAAUACUUUCCUGAGUUUGUCUCUCAAAUCUUAGUGGUGGACCUGGGAGAUGCAAGAAGCUUCCAGAAACGAAGUUUAAACGAGACACACGACGAGGUUAGGAUGAACACCUGUGACGCGAUCAUGGAGAGGAAGAUGUUUGUUUUCAGCUUAGUUUCCAGCAGCUUCUCCCUGUGCGUCAGGGCAGUGAGAGAACGUCACCUGGGCCCACGGGCUCCGCUGGACUCCGAGAAGCAAAGCACUUCUCACAUGCAGUGGACUCAGUCCCCUGAAGGGCCCAGCAAGACUAGCCAUGAGGCUGGAGGGGGGGAGGUGGUCGUUCCUCAGCCAGCGGCUGCUUCCCCAGGGAGGCGCCCACAGUCCCUGUGGCCGUCAGACAAGCCGAGAGCCUUGCCCCCCCUUUCUCUCCACCCCACUCCCAAAUUUUGAGCCCUUCUACCUGUGAGCAUAGCUUCAAUGAGUUGGGGUGGUUUUCAUUUUAUUUGGGAAAAGGAGUUUCAGAAAUAAGUUGGUUCUGUGCCGAAGGUGCUUGGGGGAGUGGAUCACUUCAGCCGUGCAGACGAAUCCACCUGGAUCUGCAUUGGGAAGUUCUUGUGGUUGUGAAAGGUCCCCUGUGGGGGCAGGUGUUUGUCACUGUGGUGACCACCAAGUUGACUGUUUCCUGCCUACCCAGGUCCUAGUGACCGUGACCCCAGCAUCCCUUCCCUAUGCGUCUGACACUGGCCCUUAACCCAAAACCUCCAGAUGCCAUCUGGUACACGGAGAGACAGGGACACACAGGCACCUUUCUUCUGGCAAGGCCUCUUAGCCCGUUGCUGUAGGGCUUUUGGUAGGCCACCUAGAGGCAUUGCACUUGGAUAGGCUUCUGCUGUGACCCUGUAUGCGCGCCCCCCCCCCCCCCCCACUGCCCUGUUCCUUUUUGGAGUGCUCUACCUCGCUCUGUGCUGUUGGCUUUUAUUCACCUUCUAGCAGCAAUUAUUCUGAGUUUUCCAAAUCAAGGAGCAUCUGUACCAAGGCAAUGUCACUUCUGAUUUUUGGUCAAUUUGUUUUAAGCUCUUUUGUCACCAAUAAAAUGUUAAAAACAA